GUAGGUGAACCUGAGGAAGGAUCAUU
rnacentral:ncRNA from 2 species